ACGGUAUGCUUAACACAUGCAAGUCGAACGGACUCAGGGAGCUUGCUCCCGAAAGUUAGUGGCAGACGGGUGAGUAACGCGUGGGAAUCUGCCUAUCAGUACGGGAUAACAUUUGGAAACAAAUGCUAAUACCGCAUACGCUCUUCGGAGGAAAGAUUUAUCGCUGAUAGAUGAGCCCGCGUAAGAUUAGGUAGUUGGUAGGGUAAUGGCCUACCAAGCCGACGAUCUUUAGCUGGUCUGAGAGGAUGAUCAGCCACACUGGGACUGAGACACGGCCCAGACUCCUACGGGAGGCAGCAGUGGGGAAUAUUGGACAAUGGGCGAAAGCCUGAUCCAGCAAUACCGCGUGAGUGAUGAAGGCCUUAGGGUUGUAAAGCUCUUUCAGUUGGAAAGAUAAUGACGGUACCAACAGAAGAAGCACCGGCUAACUACGUGCCAGCCGCCGCCGUAA
rnacentral:rRNA from 1 species